AUCGAUAUGUGAUAACAUGUAAGAUCAUGUCUGGGACAUUGGCAUUGUACUGUGAUUACGUAUAAGACCUUAUCUGGGACAGUGGCAUCGAUAUGUGAUAACAUGUAAGACCAUGUUUGGGACAUUGGCAUUGUACUGUGAUUACGUAUAAGACCAUGUUUGGGACAUUGACAUCGUUAUAUGAUUUUGUAUAAGACCCUGUCUGGGACAGUGGCAUCGAUAUGUAAUAACAUGUAAGAACAUAUUUGGGAUAUGACAUUAUACAAGCUAUUAUGAUUUCUGAGUAUCCUUAACGAUUCCGAAUGAUUCAACGGGCAAAGUCAAGAUGAGAAUGAAAGUACAAUUGAAUUAAGUGAUACAGAUACGUAUAGAACCUAAGUGAGAAUCAUAUGAAGGUAAUUUGGUAAUUUCUUAGUGUAUCAUGCAUAUGAAAUGAGAAAGAUUAUGUAUAAAUAUGAUUCAUGCCAAAAAUGUGUUUAUUUGACUAUAAUGAGGUAUGAAUUAAAUGAUAUGUGAGAUAUGAGUUAUAGUUGUGUUAACUAAAUAUACAUAUGGCACAUGGUGUGCGAAAUAUUGUUAUUUGAUGAUAAUUUACUUGGCUAAAGAAAAGGUGAUGAUAUUGAAUAAUAAAGUAUAUUUAUAUAAUUAUUUACGCAUAUGAAAAUGUGAAUGAAAUGAUAAGAAGUAUUCAAACUAUACGUGUUUUGAAUGAAUAAACUCAUGAAAAUUUGGAUUAAUUAUGUGCAUGAAUUUGAAAUAGAAUGGUGCAAUCAUAUGUAUUAUAUCAUAUUUUGAAUAAUUCUUUUAAAUACGGUUAGUUAAUAACAUGAGUUUAUUUCUAUACGAGCUUACUAAGUCUUAGAGCU
rnacentral:lncRNA from 1 species